GUCUCCUUCGUCUAGUGGUUAGGACAACGGGUUUUCAUCCCGUCAACGCGAGUUCGAUCCUCGCAGGAGAUG
rnacentral:tRNA from 1 species